UUUGUCGAAUGUUGUGUAUUCAUGUUUCAGGCAAGGGCUUUCUCAACUUCGUCUGUUCAGCAGCAGUUAGUAAAACCUCCUAUUCAAGUGUUUGGACUUGAAGGACGAUAUGCUACUGCACUCUUUUCUGCUGCCAGCAAGCAGAAACAGCUAGAUGCUGUAGAGAAAGAACUUGUUAAAUUUAAGGUAUGUU